AGAGUUUGAUCCUGGCUCAGAACGAACGCUGGCGGCAGGCCUCAAACAUGCAAGUCUAGGGGACGUAGCAAUACGUCACCGGCGGACGGGUGCGUAACACGUGGGAACGUACCCUUUGGUUCGGAACAACUCAGGGAAACUUGAGCUAAUACCGAAUGUGCCCGAAAGGGGAAAGAUUUAUCGCCAAAGGAUCGGCCCGCGUUCGAUUAGCUAGUUGGUGAGGUAACGGCCCACCAAGGCGACGAUCGAUAGCUGGUCUGAGAGGACGAUCAGCCACACUGGGACUGAGACACGGCCCAGACUCCUACGGGAGGCAGCAGUUGGGAAUCUUGGACAAUGGAGGAAACUCUGAUCCAGCCAUGCCGCGUGAGUGAUGAAGGCCUUCGGGUUGUAAAACUCUUUCGACGGGGACGAUAAUGACGGUACCCGUAGAAGAAGCUCCGGCUAACUUCGUGCCAGCAGCCGCGGUAAUACGAAGGGGGCUAGCGUUGUUCGGAAUUACUGGGCGUAAAGCGCGCGCAGGCGGCCAUCCAAGUCAGGGGUGAAAGCCCGGAGCUCAACUCCGGAACUGCCCUUGAAACUGUUUGGCUUGAGUACGGGAGAGGUGAGUGGAAUUCCCAGUGUAGAGGUGAAAUUCGUAGAUAUUGGGAAGAACACCGGUGGCGAAGGCGGCUCACUGGCCCGUUUCUGACGCUCAUGCGCGACAGCGUGGGGAUCAAACAGGAUUAGAUACCCCCGUAGUCC
rnacentral:rRNA from 1 species